UUCAUCUCAAACCUAUGAAGUACCUACUAUUAUGAUCCUCGUUGUACAGAUGAAGAAACUGAGGUUUGGAGAGAUUAAGUGAUUUGGCUAUUCACAGCUAGUAAGAGCCCGAGCAGUUUUGGCCUUCCUGAUUUCAAGUUCAAUAGCCUACCUACUAAAUUAUGCUGAGUAGGGAAACUAGAAGAGGAUUAAUAACGGGGCCAACCAUGGAUUUUGUCAUUUGCAGGGCUGAGGCUGAACAAGUGAUACAGACAGCAUGUCUUGUGAUUUUAUGUUAGAAUAAAUGCCAGGCCAUGGAGUGAGAAAACUACUCCCUACUAAGUGUCUGCUGUGAGAUUUGACCUGUGUUUAGGUGCAGAGCAUUAUUAUGAUUAUUUUCUGCACUGACAGGACACUGCUGGGAGGAUGCUUUUGCCGGUGGAGAGAAUGUCUGGAGAGAAGCUGGCUAUUUAUGCUCCGUUUAAACAUUCAUGAGCCCUAGCAGUUAAAAAUAAGAUCCAGCUGCAGAGAUAAUCAUCCAGGAAAAUUCAGAGGUGACCAAUAACAGAUCAGGGAAAAACAUUCUUGCAACAUGGCCUUCUUACUCCCAAAUACCCCGAUGGGUAGAAAUAGGAUUCACUGGCUAAGGGUCUCUGCUGCUCAGGAUGCUAUAAGAAUGAAUGAGAUAUGUUAAGAGGACUGUCUGUGAAUCAGAGAGCCAGAUAUUGGUUGCUGAAAGCUUCGGUCCUCGCUGCGAAAGAAACUACCAAAUUGAGACUACUCUCUGGAAAUUUACCCAGACACUAAUGGCUUCAGUGAAAUUAUUAAACAACAAUUGGCCUUGAUGGCAGAAGUGUAAACGGGAUCCUUAUUAAUGAUUUUACCAAUUGUUCUUCUAUUGCUGACAUAUGUCAAGAUAACAUAAGAUUAUAGAAUCAUAGAUCUGGAAGGGAUCUGUGAGGUCAUCUAGCUUAGUCCCCCCAAUUUGCAGAUGAGUUUAAAGACAGGAUUAUUUAGUAUGGAGAAGAAUUGAACUCCUGUCUAUAACUAAAUGAAAGGCAAGUCUUAUAGAAGAGGUCAUCAAAAUGUGGUUCCAGGAUCCUUGGGAGUCCCAAAGACCCUUUCAGGAGUUGAAGUCAAAACUAUUUUCCAAAAAAUCCUAAGGCAUUUAAGUGUCUAAUAUUGUAAAGAUAUAAGUUGCAUAAACUCCUUGGGGGAUCCUUGAUAAUUUUUGAGCAUAUUGAGACUAAAAGUUUGAGGACUGCUAUCAGAGAAUGAUGGAUCAUUUUCAAUAAUGACUUUUAUAUUAGCAAUUAUUAUUGUUAUUAUGCAUUUUAAAGUUUGCAAAGCACUUUUCUUAAAACAUGCCUAUGAGGUAAGCAGGGCAAAAAUUAUUAUCUCUAUUUUAUAGAAGAAAUUAAGGGAUUCACCAAAGUCACAAAUCUAAGUAAUUAUCUAAAUGAGAAUUCAAAUCUAGGUCUUCUAGAGCUAGAUUUUCUCCACUACACCAGGCUGCCUAUUUUUUCUAACUAGCCUCCUUCUAAUUGCCUCCCAUGAUGGCAGUAUUAUGGCUUCCUAGAUGAGAGAUGGAAGAUCAAGGGCUUCA